ensembl:misc_RNA
ACGGUGACGCCGGGAAAACAGAAUGGCGGCUAGUUUGGGAGGAAAGAAAACCCUUAGGGAAAUGCCCAGAUUCCGGUUGGAGAAUCCUGGCGCCGAAUGUGGAGGGUAGGGGGUGAGGAAGGUUUGGAU